rnacentral:misc_RNA from 1 species
GAUGAAGAACGCAGCGAAAUGCGAUAAGUAAUGUGAAUUGCAGAAUUCAGUGAAUCAUCGAAUCUUAGAACGCACAUUGCGCCCGUCAGUAUUCUGGCGGGCAUGCCUGUUCGAGCGUCAUUACGCCCCUCAAGUCCCCUGUGGACUUGGUGUUGGGGAUCGGCGAGGCUGGUUUUCCAGCACAGCCGUCCCUUAAAUUAAUUGGCGGUCUCGCCGUGGCCCUCCUCUGCGCAGUAGUAAAACACUCGCAACAGGAGCCCGGCGCGGUCCACUGCCGUAAAACCCCCCAACUUUUUAUAGUUGACCUCGAAUCAGGUAGGACUACCCGCUGAACUUAAGCAUAUCAAUAAGCGGAGGA